GUGGGGAAUCUUCCGCAAUGGACGAAAGUCUGACGGAGCAACGCCGCGUGAGUGAUGAAGGUCUUCGGAUUGUAAAGCUCUGUUAAUCGGGACGAAAGAGCCUAGUGUGAAUAAUGCUAGGAAGUGACGGUACCGGAAUAGAAAGCCACGGCUAACUACGUGCCAGCAGCCGCGGUAAUACGUAGGUGGCAAGCGUUGUCCGGAAUUAUUGGGCGUAAAGAGCGCGCAGGCGGAUCUGCCAGUCUGUCUUAAAAGUUCGGGGCUUAACCCCGUGAUGGGAUGGAAACUACAGAUCUAGAGUAUCGGAGAGGAAAGUGGAAUUCCUAGUGUAGCGGUGAAAUGCGUAGAUAUUAGGAAGAACACCAGUGGCGAAGGCGACUUUCUGGACGAAAACUGACGCUGAGGCGCGAAAGCCAGGGGAGCGAACGGGAUUAGAAACCCGUGUAGUCC
rnacentral:rRNA from 1 species